UGGGGAAUAUUGCACAAUGGGCGCAAGCCUGAUGCAGCGACGCCGCGUGGGGGAUGACGGCCUUCGGGUUGUAAACUCCUUUCGCUAGGGACGAAGCUUUUUGUGACGGUACCUAGAUAAGAAGCACCGGCUAACUACGUGCCAGCAGCCGCGGUAAUACGUAGGGUGCGAGCGUUGUCCGGAAUUACUGGGCGUAAAGGGCUCGUAGGUGGUUUGUCGCGUCGUCUGUGAAAUUCCGGGGCUUAACUCCGGGCGUGCAGGCGAUACGGGCAUAACUUGAGUACUGUAGGGGUAACUGGAAUACCUGGUGUAGCGAUGAAAUGCGCAGAUAUCAGGAGGAACACCGAUGGCGAAGGCAGGUUACUGGGCAGUUACUGACGCUGAGGAGCGAAAGCAUGGGUAGCGAACAGG
rnacentral:rRNA from 1 species